rnacentral:rRNA from 1 species
GCAUAUCAAUAAGCGGAGGAAAAGAAACCAACAGGGAUUGCCCCAGUAACGGCGAGUGAAGCGGCAACAGCUCAAAUUUGAAAUCUGGCUUCGGCCCGAGUUGUAAUUUGCAGAGGAAGCUUUAGGCGCGGCACCAUCUGAGUCCCCUGGAACGGGGCGCCAAAGAGGGUGAGAGCCCCGUAUAGAUGGACGCCUAGCCUGUGUAAAGCUCCUUCGACGAGUCGAGUAGUUUGGGAAUGCUGCUCAAAAUGGGAGGUAAAUUUCUUCUAAAGCUAAAUAUUGGCCAGAGACCGAUAGCGCACAAGUAGAGUGAUCGAAAGAUGAAAAGCACUUUGAAAAGAGGGUUAAAUAGCACGUGAAAUUGUUGAAAGGGAAGCGCUUGUGACCAGACUUGCGCCGGGCGGAUCAUCCGGUGUUCUCACCGGUGCACUCCGCCCGGCUCAGGCCAGCAUCGGUUCUCGUGGGGGGAUAAAGGCACCGGGAACGUAGCUCCUCCGGGAGUGUUAUAGCCCGGGGCGUAAUGCCCUCGCGGGGACCGAGGACCGCGCUUCUGCAAGGAUG